rnacentral:rRNA from 1 species
CCUACGGGAGGCAGCAGUGGGGAAUAUUGGGCAAUGGGCGCAAGCCUGACCCAGCAACGCCGCGUGAAGGAAGAAGGCUCUCGGGUUGUAAAAUUCUUUUUUUAGGGACGUAGCCAGUGACGGUACCUGCUGAAUAAGCCUCGGCUAACUACGUGCCAGCAGCCGCGGUAAUACGUCGGUGGCAAGCGUUAUACGGAUUUACUGGGUGUAAAGGGCGUGUAGGCGGGACGGGAAGUCAGAUGUGAAAACCAUGGGCUCAACCGGUGGACUGCAUUUGAAACUGUUUUUCUUGAGUACUGGGGAGGCAGACGGAAUUCCUAGUGUAGCGGUGAAAUGCGUAGAUAUUAGGAAGAACACCAGUGGCGAAGGCGGACUGCUGGACAGCAACUGACGCUGAGGCGCGAAAGCGUGGGGAGCAAACAGGAUUAGAUACCCGAGUAGUC